UCUGAGCUAUAAAGUCGUCAACCUGUUCGACGAAAUUACUCAGUGAGACAAAAGUUCUUUCAAACAAAAAACAGAGAGAAACAGAGUCACGUGUUUGUCCCUUUUAGAUCACAGGGCAAUAAAAGCAACAUUCAGCUCCAAAUCUGUCGCUACAUCCAUUAAUCACGGAGAUAACAUAAAACAGAAAAAAAAAUCCGAGUAUCAUCAAUGUCGCUUGUCAGCUUUUCCGACAAAUCACUCACUGAAUAAAAAAUUCCGAAGACAGAAAGUGGCAAAAAUUCUAUGAUUCUGUCAGAUCCAAAUACGUGAUUACGAAAGCAUAUGCAGAGUUUCAAUAUAAUAUCAAUUUAGAAGGAAAGUAAGAGGAAAUAGACCUUGUAGAAAAGAAGAGCGGUG